rnacentral:rRNA from 1 species
UUAAGUAGGAAUUUAAUUUUGGUUCCGAUUGAACGUUUUUCAGUAGUUUCAAGACAUGCAAAUCGUUUGAAGAUAGUUAAUUAAAAUUAACCUUUUUAAAAGUAGUUAAUAGUUGGAAUUGCCUAGCAAACUAACAAAUUUAAGUUUUCAAGGUGUAGGGGUGAGUAUAGUAAAUAAGAUACCCUUGUAAUCUUUCAAAAUGGGAGAUAGUACUGCUAUCAGUAAUAAACAAAGGUAAACUUUAAAACCAGAAAGGAAAUUUUCCGUUACAAGGAUUCGAUUUACGUUUGAUUAGGUAGUUGGUAGGGUAAAGGCUUACCAAGCCAAUAAUCAAUAGUCAAGUUUGACAGAACUAAUGACCACAUUGGGAAUGAAAUCUCCCAAGUAGCGUAUUGCUACCAGCAGUCAAGAAUAUUAGUCAAUGCUCGUAAGAGUGAACUAGCUAACUGAAAUCCUUGAUGUGUCAUUGAGGAUAACGUAAGGGAAAAUAAUGCUAUUACCUUACUAUUAGUGUCGUCCAAGUGCUCGUGCCAGAAGACUCGGUAAGGCGAGAGACGCAAACGUUAUUCGUCUUGAUCAGGCGUAAAGGGUAAGUAGGCUGCUAAAAGUGUUCUAUUUUAUGUUUACUAUUAUAAACAAAUAAUAAUAAAAUAAAACCAAUUAAAGCUAGAAUCUAAAGGAGGUUAAAACAAUACUCAUGGUAGGUGUACCAACCGUAGAUAAUGAGCAGAGUGUUAACGGCGAAGGCAUUUAUCCAAUAAAGAUUGACGCUGAGGAACGAAGGUGAGGACAGAAAAAAGGAUUAGAGACCCUUGUAUCCCUCACUGUAAACGAUGAAUGGUAGUUACUAGAAAGAAAUGAUCUAGAGGCGAUGUUAACACGAAAACCAUUCCGCCUUGUGAGUACGACUGCAAAGUUGAAAACAAAAAAAUUAGUCGGUUUCGGAGCAAACGAAGUGAAGCAUGUUAUUUAAUGCGACGGUCCGCGUAAAACCUUACCAGUUCUUGUAUAAAAACUUUUAGUUAUUAAUUUAACACGUUCCCUUUUUCAAAGGUAAAAGGAGUAUUCUAAUUAAUUAUUAAAUAGUUAAUAGGUACUUAAUACAGGUGUUGCAUGGCUGUCUUCAGUCCGUAUUGUGAAAAGUUAGGUUAAAUCCGUUAACGGACGCAAUCCCUAGUCUUAAUUUCAACUUAAGGCUUUAUAAUUUUGAUAAGAAGUUAUUUGGGGCUAAGACAAGCCCUUAUGGCCCUCAUGAACUGGGCUAUUGACGUGCUAUAAAGACUUUCACAAAGUGAUGCAAACCUUCUCUUAUGAAAUCCCUAUUGGGUCUUAGAGUUAAAGGAUAAGCUAAUCAUUAAAAAAAGUCAAAAUACAAAAUUAAUGUUACGGAUUGUCACCUGAAACUUGGUGGCAUGAAGGAGGAAUUUCGAGUAAUCGUUGAUCAUUAGGCGCAACGGUGAAGCUUAAAUCCGGGAUGAACUAACUGUCUGUCGCUGGGAAGAAGCUUAUUUUGGUGGAAACUGUAUUAAAGUAAUAUUUAUAAUAUAAAGCUUAUAGCUAUAAAUGUUUAUAUGAAAGUAGCAUAUAAAUAGUUAAAAUAUUAAUUAUUAUUAAAUUUAUUUAAGCCAUUUGAGUAACAUCUCAAAAGUCAUAGCAAGGUAGUUGUACUGGAAGGUGCAGCUGGAAAAUUAAUUUU